GAAAUGUGCCAAGAACAUGACACCUACACCUGCCCUCUCUGUCUUAGGUGUUUAUGUCAUCUUACUUCUGUUCAUGUUAAAGUAUGAGUUUAGAGAGUGAUUUACAAGCGCUGAUGGAUGAUGUUGUAACAUGAUUUGUAUGCUGGGGCGAAAGGACAACGGUGGAUUGGAGGCAGAAAAACAGUCACUCGCCAUUCCUGUUCACUCAGUCGCCGGUGAAAGAUGAGCAAUGAGAAGGCAGGGAGGGGGAUGGAGUGAUGGAAACGGUAGAUGAGAGAUAAGAAGAGCGAAGGGAAGAGAGACCUGCUUGGUAUUCACCUGUCUCUCCGGAUCAAUAAAGGUAAUUUGGGCUGAUUCCUCCCCGUAGGCCUCUUAGCAGACAGAAGGGGAGAGGGGUCAGCCACUGCUGAGCUGCGGGGAGCUGGAAUAACUUAGAAACACACUCUGCAAAUUACUGCCCCUGUUUGAGAAUCUCUCAUUCAGCUAUGCCUCUGCCUUGAUAAGAGAUACAGUGUGAUGCAGAGUCCUCACACAAAUAUGACUGGAACUAGGAAACAGUACACAGCCCUGUAG